GUUUCAGCCGCCGCGGUAACACGGGGGGAGCAAGCGUUGUUCGGAAUCACUGGGCGUAAAGGGCGUGUAGGCGGCUCAGUAAGUGGGAUGUGAAAUGCCCCGGCUCACCCGGGGACCUGCAUCCCAAACUGCUGGGCUUGAGUAUGGGAGAGGAUGAGGGAAUUCCUGGUGUAGCGGUGAAAUGCGUAGAUAUCAGGAGGAACACCGGUGGCGAAAGCGCUCAUCUGGCCCAAUACUGACGCUGAGGCGCGAAAGCUAGGGGAGCAAACGGGAUUAGAUACCCCUGUAGUCC
rnacentral:rRNA from 1 species